CCGCCUGUUUAUCAAAAACAUGUCUAUACGAAGAUUUAUAUAGUCUGUCCUGCCCACUGAUAAGUUAAAAGGCUGCGGUAUCUUGACCGUACAAAGGUAGCAUAAUAAUUAGAUUUUUAAAUGGAAUCUGGAAUGAAAGGAUUGACAAAAAGAAUACUGUCUUUAUUAUAAUUAUAGAAUUUAAUUUUUAAGUGAAAAGGCUUAAAUAAGUUAGGGGGACGAUAAGACCCUAUAAAGCUUUAUAAAAUUUAUAUUAUUGAGAAAUUUUGUUAAUUAAAUAGUAGAAUUUUUAUUUUGCUGGGGCGGCCUGUUAAAAUUUUUAUUAACUAAUUAUAAGUUUAAUCAUUGAUAAAUGAAUAAGUGAUCCUAGGAAAGAUUAAAAAAUUAAGUUACUUUAGGGAUAACAGCGUUAUUUUUUUUGAGAGUUCUUAUUAAAAAAAAAGAUUGCGACCUCGAUGUUGAAUUAGAGAUUACUUUAUGGAGCAGAAUUUAUAAAAGUAGGUCUGUUCGACCUUUAAAUAU
rnacentral:rRNA from 1 species